ensembl:lncRNA
CAUUUUAUUAGUAAGUUCCUAAAAAAAUGCUUUUAAUAAAACAUUACAUUUCUGCUGUAAAUCUGUCCAUUUUGGUAUCCCAUAGUGUAGUUACAGUGCAUAAAAGAUUGCUGUAUCAUUAAAGUCUCCUGUUGUUCUUUUGAAGCAUGUAAUGUAAUUCUACCUUUGCCAAGCAAUCUGUAUUGUGACAGUGCUGACCUUCACCCCAAGGAAGUUGAACUAUAUGUAGAUAAUACAUCUUUCAUGAAAAUGUCUGGGUACGGACGCUUACAGUUUUGAUCAAUUUGUGAGACAAAUAGUUUCAUAUUACUCAAGUCAUUAGCAAGUGUUUAUAACUCCAGUCCACGGAAGAUUUGAGCAUGAAACCAGCACCAUUUAAAUUCAAAUCAAAAAGUCUAUGUAUAAGUGGAAAUUGUUUACAUACAGUCACGUUUAUGUAUCUAUUGAAAUGAGUUCUUUUAUGUCCUUAUAAAAUAAAAAAUAUGAACUCUUUAUUCAUUUUUGUUUUCACACAAUUAUUUUGUUUAUGUGAAAACAUAAUUAAAAAUAAAAGAAAGAAAAGCAAAAUGUUUUAUCAUAUAUAUAACAAUGGAAAUCAACAAGCGAAAUGAUUUUUCCUGAUUGUAGUGGCUUUUGAUUUCAGAUGGUUACUCAUCAUAUUUCCAGACCACCAGAGUUUGCCAACUGCUCAUUUCCACCACAGGUACAUGGACACUGGCAGGAACAGUAGACUGAAUGAAGCGCUAAGUCUGGGAAUUCGAUUUGUGGUUAUCAGUGUGCUCUUAAUCAUACUACUAGUUGGGUUUGUUGUUGCUGCUGCUGUUGUAGUUGUUGUUGCUGUUGUUGUUGUUCUUGCUGCUGUUGUUGUUGCUGCUGCUGUUGUUGUUGUUGCUGUUGCUGCUGUUGUUGUUGGUGUUGCUGCUGUUGUUGUCGUUGUUGUUGUUGCUGUUGUUGUUGUUGCUGCUGCUGUUGUUGCUGCUGCUGCUGUUGCUGCUGCUGUUGUUGGUAUUGCUGCUGUUGUCGUCGUUGUUGUUGUUGCUGUUGUUGUUGGUGGUGUUGCUGAUGUUGUUGCUGCUGUCGUUGCUGUUGUCGUUGUUGCUGUUGCUGCUGCUAUUGUUGCUGUUGUUGUUGCUGUUGCUGCUGCUGCUGUUGUUUCUUCUGUGGUUGCAGUGGUAAUGCUGUGUAUGGUCGUAGAUUGUUUUUCUGUGGUGCUCUGAAAUGUGAAAUAAUGAGAUGAUUACCAUUGUAAAUCUUUUUGCUUACAGAACCACAUUACAAGACUGUACAGUCAGUGUAAUUAUACACAGACACACAGACAUGUGACAUGUGUGACAUCAUUCAUCCCCUCCUCUUUGUUAUUUUGAAUAUCAAAUAUUCAAAUCAUACACUUUGAAUAUGACAUCAGGCUUUUUUUCACUUAAAAUACUUUUUAAAAAUGUGAAUAUGAUAAUAUAAUGCUGUCUAAUUCUGUGUUUGCUAAACUAUUAUCAAAUUAAGUAUCUGCAAAAGUCACACAAAGAACGAAAUUGGCAUCAUUUAAAAUAACCUCUACCCAUUUAUUUAAAAAGCACCGUUUGACAUACAUUUGCACUAAUAGUAAUUGUUGUAUUUCAAAACCAGUUACACUCAUUAUUUAUGUGAAUCUUAGAUCAAUUUCCUUAAUAUUAAUGCACUUUUA